AUGAAAAAGAAGUUAUAGAAGCAGAAGAAAAUAUAAUAUCAAACAAUAAUGAAUAUGUAAUAAAUCCCUUUUCUGAAAAAAAUAUAAUCGUGAGUUUUAACACUAGCCGAAAGGGGGUAUUUUUGUAUCGUUUUUUUGUCAUGAUAGCAGGUAAGAUAAAAAAAAAAAAAAAACUGCCAUUUGUUUUAAUGUAUAAACAUAUAUAUAUGUAUGUAUAUAUACAUGCAUAUACACAUAUAACAUACUUUUGUAAUAAACCCUAAAUUUUUUUUUUUCUCAGAAUAUAGGUACAAGGAUAAGCUGGACACAAAAAAAAAAAAAAAAAAAAAUUACAACACACAUGCAUAUAUACAUAUAUAUAUAUAUAUAUAUGUGUGUGUACACGUGAGCAAACUGUUUUAAACACAAGUUUAUGUAACAAUCUGCUUACCUUUUGCAGACACACUGUUGAUAUAAUACUAAAAGUUGUCAUGCCAUAUUUCCAAGUUAUAGAUAUAAACGAUUUUAAAACACCCACAUCUAUUACUGGAACAUGACAUCUAUAGAUAAAAUUAACGCCUGUUUAAAAGAUCACCUUUCAAAAACAGAGCUAGACUACAAAAAAGAGCAAAGUGUAGAGAAUUUACAAAACUUAUUUAAUCGAUUUAAUUAUAUAGAAUUUAACAUUGGAAAUAAUAUAUUAAAUGAACAAACAUAUGUUAAUUUACUUUUGUAUAACCCAUUAGAUAUAUCAUUAAACAUACAAAUAAAUACUAUCAAGUAUUACAUUUUCCCUAUUUUACCACCAUAUAUCAAAAAUGAAGAAGAAAAGAUGGCCCAGUUUUUAUACGUAGACAAUACAUUCCGUCAUUAUAUGAGGUGUUUAGAUAGUUUUGAUAUUUAUCCUAAAAAAUUCGAAAUAAAAAAAAGACAGCCAAAACAAUCACUUUAA
rnacentral:lncRNA from 1 species